GCAGUGUUUGGAAUGUUCAAGGUGUCCAGUAGUCUGUUUUAUUAAUUGGAAAAUUACUUCACGUUUUUCUUCACUGACACCUGGUUUACGCACACCAUAAAAUGUCUGUCUGUUUAAAGGAAUCUCCCUGUAGUCCCCAACAAGAUUUUAUCCCAUUGCUUCACAGAUGCAGUUCACCUUGAUCAUUUAUCACACACAAUUUACAUGUUGUAUAUUAAAA